UGUCCCCUGCUGUGUUCGACCGGGCUCAUAUUUCCGAACCGAUAGCUUCCCUAGGUUGCGGACCCUAGCGUCACUGUUGUGAUCGUCCCUCCUUCGGGUGCCGGACGAACCUGAGGUGACCGGCAAGCGACCACCCUGAUUAAGCACAGGGUUCGGGAGCGAGCCCACCGGCACAAGCGGGGGGCCA
rnacentral:other from 1 species